UUGACGGGGCCCGCACAAGCGGUGGAUGAUGUGGAUUAAUUCGAUGCAACGCGAAGAACCUUACCUACCCUUGACAUGUCCGGAACUUGCCAGGGAUGGCUUGGUGCCCGAAAGGGAAUCGGAACACAGGUGCUGCAUGGCUGUCGUCAGCUCGUGUCGUGAGAUGUUGGGUUAAGUCCCGCAACGAGCGCAACCCUUAUCAUUAGUUGCUACGCAAGGGCACUCUAAUGAGACUGCCGGUGACAAACCGGAGGAAGGUGGGGAUGACGUCAAGUCCUCAUGGCCCUUAUGGGUAGGGCUUCACACGUCAUACAAUGGUCGGUACAGAGGGUUGCCAAGCCGCGAGGCGGAGCCAAUCCCACAAAGCCGAUCGUAGUCCGGAUUGUUCUCUGCAACUCGAGAGCAUGAAGUCGGAAUCGCUAGUAAUCGCAGGUCAGCAUACUGCGGUGAAUACGUUCCCGGGUCUU
rnacentral:rRNA from 1 species